rnacentral:lncRNA from 1 species
UGACAUCUUAUUGAGCCAUUGUGAGAAAGCUAAUAGAAUCAAGAAAUGACAACAAGAUGCGAAUGCAUAAAGUUCAACGAAGCAAUCCAUGAAUCCAUAAGUGAAACAUGAUACAGAAGAGCCAACGGGGGAUUGACAUGUGCUAAGGGAUGAUGAUGUGGAUGACAUGUAUUACCGUCAAUCAACUUCAAGGACAAUGCGUAGGG